UGUUAACGUUAUGGCUCUACCCCCAAACAUAUUUUUUUCAUGUAGCUAAGUGAACUAGAAAUUGCUUUUCCUUCCUAAAUAUUAUUUCAAAGUAGUUAUAAUAUAUAACAUUGCAACUGAGCUAGCUCCUGUUUACCUUGGGAAAAGCCGAAAGUUGUCAGUACAGUGUUGGUGUUCCUGAAUGCGCAACUCUGCCCACCCAGCGAGUGAUACAUUAUCCAGUCCGAAACGAAUCCUCUGCUGCCCAGCCGAUAGCCACUUCCUCUUUCGUUUCUAGAGAACUACACAACAGCCUAGUGCCUGGAUAAUUAACUAGCCAACUGUAUUACAAUUGACGAAUGCAAAAGCUCCUCGGAAAUAACGAUGAAAUGCACUGACAUUAUCAAUAGCCAGCUUUCUAGCUAGCCUGGCGAGGCUCUGUGCAGCUAUUGCUACAAUCCACUCGACAAAGGGUGCAAUGUGUUAGCUGAAACGACUGGUACCCUGACAGCGGCUAACUAGCUAAACAAAAGCCCGGCCACAGAUCAAUAGUAACAUAUAGCUAGCUAUCUCCCAUAUAAACGUUAAACGAUUGCAAAUUAAUGCCAAAACCCCGUCACCGACAUGACAACGUACAGCAGUUUGUUCUGUAUUGCGAUCUGACAUUUAGAUAAUUAUUAUGACAUGACACCAACCCUUCACUGCCUCGAUUCAAGCAGUUACCAUCUAACUAGUUUGGUAAAUAGCCUACACAGUUGUUAGCUACGUAGUACACCGUGACCUAGCUAGCUAGUCAUAUUGAGUUGCCCGGCAAAGCCGUCCACACCAUCUGACCUCAGUGCUUGUCUCUUGGCUCCGGGAAUGUGGACAGGUCUCUCGGAGAGAAAAGGCUACCUCAGUGCUAAUGUUGGCUAACGUGAGUUCCCAAUGUAUCACAUGCAUGGCAAGCGAGGGCAGCUACAUGGUGGGGGUUUUCCGAAUGACAUGGUAUGUUCUUGCCCUUAAACUGUCCAACUGUAAAGGUCAUAUCAUGUUUUGCCAUUCUUCUUUCCCCAAGUGAAUUAAUAAAGGUUCAUUGAUUAAUCAAGAACUGAUAGCAGUUGCUGUAUGUUUGGGCCCCGUGCCCAUUAAUUAAAGCAAACUUUUUUGGUUAUUUGUCAUCAACUUGCAUGCCAAGUUAAAUGUGCAAUGCUUUAACCACCUUUGACAUUUGCUUUUUUGUGCAAUUAUUUAAUCAUAGAAUUUGAAUGAGAUUCAAGGUAAUAUGAUAUCUGACUUAAUUGCAUGAACAUUAUAAUAACAAUGUAUUUUUUUAGGCACAAGUCCUCCUCUACUGUAAUGGUGAGGGUGAACACUGAGCAGCAUCCACUUAUGACAGUGGAUCUCACAGAUCAGGUUUCUAGCCCAGGGAUUUCCCCAUACACCCUGCUUGGAUGGGGGUACUCUGUGUGCAGCUCCCCCAGACGUUUUCUCUACAAUCACUGUGACUCAGCUGUCUCUACACCACCCUAGUAGGCUACUACUACUGCUGUACCUUCAGACAAGUGGCCAGAGCAGGCUCUAAAGUGAGAACGUUACACAAUGCUGGCAUCACAUUACAGUAAGUCUAGAAUACAGCUUGGCUGCUCCUCGACUGAGGGUUGGCAAUGAUGGGAAGUGAAGAGGAGUUUUGCAACGAAUAGGCAUUGAUUUAUUAAUGUACCUAUUACUAGUAUGGAAAUCUGAAGGGUGACUGAACAUUGCAUCUUAAUUGUGGGCAAUUCCAUGAUAACAGAGUGACGCUGAGACUCAGAUUUUUCACCUUAAAAUGUUUGUCAAACAGAAACCAAUGAUUGAAAAGUUAAACAACCUGUACAACUGUAUGCACAAGGACUUUUAACAGUUUCCACUGAAUAUUUGACAAAAAUACAUUUACUUUAAGAACAGUGGAGAUGCAAAGUUUGGUAACAUAAUUGCUGUUUGUGCUGUCAUUCUUUUACUGUCAUUCGAGUACCAGAAUGAUGAGGGUGGGGGACAAGGGGGAACUAAUCUAGCUUUGUGUUCCUCUUAUAACCACAUGAUGAGUUAUCGAAAGAAGAGGUUGACCAGGUUCUUUGCCCUGACAUUCAGCUGGACAGCCGGGCCGUGGAGAAGAUGGCGUCCAAUCUGCUCGUCUUGAAUGGAGGCUUGGUGGUCCAGCUAGACGCCAUCCUGCAGUGUCACGAGGACACCGAGCCAGGGUCUUCCGCGGUUUCGAGAAGGUGCCUUCCUAUCCCCUGCACCCGGCCGUCUCGCUCAGGGAGCCGGAGAGCAGGAUGACCUUCAGAUGAUGAGGUCAUGGGUCAAGGGGCUAUGCCAUGGUGAUGCUUCAGCUCAGAAAAUGGAGAGUAGUCCUGGAAGUGGAAUUAUUAGAAAGAACAUUCCCAUUCAAGUCGUAUGUUCUGUGAUGGAUCUAGAUCUAUUUCUAUGAGGAAAUCUGUCAUUUAAGAGGGUUUCAGAGGAGAGUUUCUAUGUCAUCCCCUGUAGGUCACAGAAGGAGUGCACAUGGAGAGGUGAUGGAUUAAUGUUUGAAUUUGCAUAAACAAAUACAACCUAAAUAAAUUAGA